AUGAAUGGCAAGCUGCCAAAUGAUAUUAGAGUACAGGUAGUACAUUUCAUCACCUGGUUGGUAGCAUGAAGGAGAGUACGAGUUGUACAUUUCAUCACCUGGUUGGUGGCAUGAAGAUGAGUUCCUUCUUCACCUGGUUGGUGGCAUGAGUGGCAAGUUGCCAAAUGAUAUUAGAGUACCGGUUGUACAUUUCAUCACCUGGUUGGUGGCAUGAAGAAGAGUAUGGGUUAUACAUUUCAUCACCUGGUUGGUGGCACGAAGAUGAGUUCCUUCUUCACCUUUCAUCACCUGGUUGGUGAGAAUAAGGGCAAGGUGUCGAGGCAGAUUAUAGCAAGUGUCGAACACACAAAGUAUGUUGAACCUUUUCGAAGCACAAUUGGCUUAUGUAUGGAUGUGUUGGAAUGUAUGAUGU
rnacentral:lncRNA from 1 species